rnacentral:rRNA from 1 species
GACGAACCGUGCGAACGUUAUUCGGAAUCACUGGGCUUAAAGCGCGUGUAGGCGGGCCGGCACGUCGGUCGCUGAAAUCCCCCGGCUCAACCGGGGAAGGGGCGCCGAUACGACCGGCCUGGAGGGGCGUAGGGGGAUCGGGAACUUCCGGUGGAGCGGUGAAAUGCGUUGAGAUCGGAAGGAACGCCCGUGGCGAAAGCGCGGUCCUGGACGCCUGCUGACGCUGAGACGCGAAAGCUAGGGGAGCGAACGGG